UACGUAGGUGGCAAGCGUUGUCCGGAAUUAUUGGGCGUAAAGCGCGCGCAGGCGGUCUCUUAAGUCUGAUGUGAAAUCCCGCGGCUCAACCGUGAGCGGUCAUUGGAAACUGGGAGACUUGAGUGCAGAAGAGAAGAGCGGAAUUCCACGUGUAGCGGUGAAAUGCGUAGAGAUGUGGAGGAACACCAGUGGCGAAGGCGGCUCUUUGGUCUGUAACUGACGCUGAGGCGCGAAAGCGUGGGGAGCGAACAGG
rnacentral:rRNA from 1 species